CUGAAAAGGAGAUAGAGACUCUUUUGCAGUCUGUAGAGGAGAUGAGCAACAGGCUUCGAAGGGUCAUCAGGGAGAAGGAUAUGGUCUAUGAAAUGAAAGAGAACGGGAAGCAAGAGUUUGAGAACAUGAUUCUUGAGUACCACGAGAGUAUGUUUGAAGCAUCGUUGAAGGAGGAAGAGUUGAAGAUUCUGGACGAAGAAUUGCAGUCUGAAAUGAGUAAAAGAGAAGAUUUGCAAAGAGCAAAGGCUCUUGCUACAAGCAGAAAAGGUCAGUUUCUGAAUGCAUUGUCGUGCCAAUCGUGCUCUUUCUCCAACAAGGUAGAGGAGGAUCUACACGACAUACGAAGGUCAGUGCUAGAGCUGAACUCGUUGCUUGGAAAUUAAUAGCUUGUGCUGAAAGUUAAUUUGCCUGUUUAACUGUCGAACUAUAAAGCAUCUUCUCUCAGUUGCAUUGCUGCCUUAAUGUAUUGUCAAUACAUAAAAUUCUGCUUAAGCAAACGGUGUGAUGUAUUUCGAACCAUAUUAUGAUUGUGAAUAAGUUUUGCAAUAUUACAAUCAAAUUUUUGGCUACACUUAAUGAAUCUAUAGAAUGCAAAAUCUCAACUGGGAAACACUAAUCAGAAUCAUUUGAGCUCAAGAAUCAUAUUUAUAUUAUGUACACAAAUAUAUCUUCUAAGUUGUCAUCAUUACCUUGAACUCAUCAAAGCUAAGAACUCCAUCUCCAUUUAUAUCAAAUCUACUAAUCAUAGCUUUACAAUUUUCAAUGGAAGUUGAUUCACCAAGUCUACUCAACAUCCUCUUUAAGCUCUUUGGAGUAAUGUAUCCUCCACUACCUUCCAUAUCUUCAUACAUACCAAAUGCUCCAAUUAACUCACUCUCUUUAUUCCUCUCAUCCUCCAUACCUUCCAUUAGUUUUGUAAAAUCCUCCAAUCCCAACAACCCGUCCCCAUCAGAAUCCGAUAGCCUCAUCGCCAUCUCAGCCUCCUCUGCUGUCAUUUUGCCUCCUACAACCUUCACACACCUCCUAAGCUCCGUUGGUGACACCUUUCCAUCUCCAUUCUCAUCGAAAUACAUAAAUACCCUCUCUAAUUCGCUAUUAUUACUAUCACUACUACUCAAUGAAAGUGGAUCAGUAGUAGUAAUAGCUGCUGCUGUUGUUGUUAGACUCUUCUGUUCUGUAAGAGUAGUAGCCUUUUUUAGAACAACCCUAUUCCAUAUUCUUGAGAAAAAAGAUUCAUUUUCACCCAUGGAAACAGAAACUGACGCCAUACACACGAUGUAUGUUUAUACAAGUACCUUAUAAGUACCUUUUUUCCAAGAAAGUUUGAAAUGUAUAGUAAAUGAUUAAAGUGUGAAACAAAGCUUGGGAAACUAACUUUUGGAAAUAGCUCUUGAAAGACGAGAAAGGAUAUGAGAAUGAAGAAAAAGAAUGUGGUAUUUAUAGUUUAUGGGGUUAAAAGAAUGAGUGGGAAAGCCAGUAGCAAAGGGAUAGUUAAUGGUAUUAAUUAUUAAUUCCGUGGGCAUACCACGUAGUGAAACAACUUGUAAGACCAUUUGUUUCUAUUAGAAGAAAUUCCCACCGUACAACGUUACUUGUCCACUAUUGAUUUGAUAUAUACACGAAGAAAUAAUAAAUAAAAUAAGUAAUUUUACUAUAUCAUUCUUUAAAUAUAAUAAAUUUAAUAUCUUAAAAAAUACAUUGAGUGAUAAAUAAUAUUUAAUAAUAACGAUAAAAUGAAUAAAAAAAAUAAAUUAUCAUUUUUCAAACUGAACAAUUAAUGUUAAAUAUUUAUUUUUAAUGUAAUAGACAAAUAUUAUUAAACAAAAUAUUUUUAAAUCAGAAGGUUGAAAAGUAAACAGGCAAUACGAUGUAUAUAUAUAUAUUUUUUUGAAAUGAAGUUCUGAUUUGUGGGAUAAAGUGUUAUCUUGACCAUAAUUAAAAACUACGCGUUCAGUAUGUAUGUUGGGUGGGGUUAGGAAUUGGCAUCUUUAUAUUAUAUAUGGUCAUCUAUAAUGUCAUGCCAAAUUGACGCACAUCCUUACCUUACUUUAAAUUUGUUUUUUUUUUAUACUCCUUUCGUUUGGCUUUACUUAUCACUUUUGAACCUAACAUAUUUAUUAAGAAAACAAUAAUUAAUAAAGUGAGUUUACAAUAUUACUUUGGAGAAUCAAAUUGUCUUUUACACAUCCAUUAAAAUAAUUUGGAGAAUAAGUAUUAAUGCUAAGGAUAAAACAAGAAAAAAAAUAAAAAAUUAGAAAAAUAGUGACAGCUAAAUUUGAUUAGAGAAAGUAUUCAGUACUUGCCUUUCAUGGCAUAUCCAAAAUAGUGUACUCUUAUUCCUUUAUGUAUAGUCCCCCACUUUUCGGAAGUAGUAUAUAUUUGGAUUUAUUUAUCUAUCAAAGUCUAUGAUGUUUAAAGUUAUCAGAAGUAGUAUAUAUUUGAAUUUAUUUGAUUAAUUUAUUAAUUAUGAUAAAAUUAGAUUUAGAUAACCACCAAAAUAUUAUAAAUAUUGUUUAGAUGAAUAACGUACAAAAAUUACAAAAAUAUAAAGAAUUAAAACAAAUAAUAUCUGAAAAACGUAAAGAAUUAAAGAUAAGGAUAGAAAGACUACAAUAUAACAUAAUUGUUGGAGUUAGUAAAAAUUCAAUAAAUGCACAAAAAGAAGAAAUAUCAAAUUUAGAAUCAACAAUAGACAGUCUAGAAUAUAUAUAUCAACAUAACCUAUAUACAUUUAAAUAAAAUGAACAAAGGAGAAUUCAUAAUAGACGAAAAAACAUAUGAAAAUAACGAAAGAACAAAAAUAAAAAUAGUAUUCUCUAAUUUAGGAAGAAGAUAUAAGAAAAUAGGUGAACAUUUAUAUUUAAUGUUAGAAAAAGAAGAAUUAAAAUUAGAAGAUAAGUUGGCAGCCAUGGUAAGAAUAGAAAGAGGAAAUGAAGAAAUAAACAGAAAAAAGAAAAUAGAUAAAAUAAAACAACAAACCACAGAAGAAAUACGAAAAAUAGAAGAAACUAAAAAUAGUA
rnacentral:lncRNA from 1 species